rnacentral:misc_RNA from 1 species
UAAAUGCGAUAAGUACCGUGAACUGAAGACAUUUUGAACGGAAAAGAUUCGAACGCACAUUGCGCCUUAGGAGUCUCAUCCUUUGGCACAUCUGGUUCAGGGUCGUUUAAAUAAACGUUUGCUAGAUACGUGUUUCCUUUGUCGGAUCAUUAUCGUGCUAGAAGGUGAUGUUCUGAUAUCAUGGACCAUAGCGUCUGAUUGUCUAUUUACUGAUGGCACUGUAUUGCAAGCUGAGCCGCCAUGUGAAAGGACUUUUCGCUAUUUCCGACCUGAAGUCAGGUGUGAAUACCUGCUGAACUUAA